CUCUAACGCUUUCACUCCCCUUCUCUCUCUAACCCUAAUACGCCGUCGCCGUCACCAUCAUUGCAGGGAGUCACCGUUGCCGCCGUCCCUAAUCAGUACCGCCGUCACCGUUGCCACCGUCCCUAAUCAGUACCGCCGUCGCUGUCGCGUCCACAGCCAACCAUUUGAGGUGAUGAAGAAAACUCACUAUUAUUUGGUGGACAAAAGUGGUAUCAUUUCGGGAGCUGCAGUCUCAGAGUUGCAAUUUAACAUCAUAAAGGAAGACCCAUUCAUUGUACAUGAUCUUGAGGUUGAGUCUUUUUACUCUACUAGUUGAUUUAGUUGGUCCUAUUAAUAUUUUUUCAAAUAUCUGAUUGCUAUUGUAUAUGGUACUAUUUUCAGAGUUUAAGGGGAUUGAUGUCUUAUAAUUUGUAUGAGCUUAAGGGGAUUGAUGUCCUAAUUAUAUUUUGAUGUUCUAUUAUAAACUUCUACAUGUAACAUAUGUUGACACCCAAUUUCGUCCCUCCUUUAUUUUAAUUUAUUUCCCGGAGUUUUUUAAAUUUAUUGACGAGCUAAACACUAUUAUUAUUAUUUUUAUUGCUACUACUAUUAAUAUCGUUACUUUCAUUUCACUAUUUUACUAUCAAAAUUACUAGCAUUAUGUUAUCACACAUUUUUUAUAUAGUCCGUCGUCAUUUCAUUUCCGGAUUCGGACUCGUUAAAUUAAAUAUUUAUUUUUUACACCAACCACAUGAUACAUAUUAUACAAGUUAUAUCACAAUAUGCCAAACAAAUGGCCCAAACUCGUCCAGCCCACAAAUUCGCAACCCACAUAUUAAAUCGGACCAGCCCAAUUAAUUUGUACCCAACCCGGCCCAAUCUUUAUUUCCUAAAAAAAACCUAAUGAACAAUCACCUCUUUCUCAGUCGCAUACCCCCUCUGUUCUCCCUCUCUCCUCUGUCCUUUCUCUCUCGUCUCCUUGCCCUCUCUCCUCCCUCUUCUAAAUCAAGAAACAAAACCCCUUUCAACCAUGGCAGAUGCCAACAACACCAUUUUCGUGCAAUACACAGCACCGUACAAGCUUUUCCUCUUACCUCUCCCCAUUUUAGCAAAACGCUAUUUCUCUUUAGCCAUGGCAGUUUCGUCUAUCCAUUUUCAUACCAAAAUUGUCUCCACGCCUGCUCUGUCUGAGCUUUCUAUCGUUGACAGGGAAAAAGCAUUCCUUUUCUUACUUCAAACGUACGUUCAUCCUCAAAGACCAUAAAUGGUCGAACCAUUUACAGAUAAGAUCCGAAUUCAGACCAUUUGAAAUCUGUUUGAAAAUACUUUCAGCACUCAGAUUCAUUUCGAUUCGUUUUUGGAAAACCCUAGUUCAACAGCCCGCCCAAUUUCAAAUCAAAAAACCUAUCUUGAGACUAUAAAUACAAGGCAUGAGACCAGUUUUGAGGGAGUUCUUCUCAGCCGCAAAAAACCCUUUGAAAUAUAUACAUUUUUCAAUCACUAUAUCUCGGGAUAUUUUUGAAAUAUUGAGUGGUUACUCUUUCAAUCCGUCUGUUACUUUGAGAUUGAGGGUAGAUUGGAGACCCGACACCCCUUUCACUGCACCUGAAAAAGGUCGCUGCAAUCCCUUCUUUCCUCUUUUUUGGUUCGAUUGGAUCUUGAUGCGUAUUUGUGAUUCUUUAUUUGUGUGCGUAGAGUGUUUCCUUUAGUUUCGAAGCGAUUCUGUGUUAAUGAUGGUAUAUCAAAUUUCAUGAAAUAGGAAAUUCGUAUGCUUUUGAUAAAUGUUGGUAUUUUUCUCUAAGAUUAAGGUUACUACACUAUGUUAAGCAUUUUAUUUGAAACUAUGGUUUAAGAUUUGCGUCUCAGUGUUGUUUUUUUUUUAUAAAACACGUCUAUAAGAAAUUUCUUUUCCCCAAAACGUUCUUCUGUAUAAGAUUGGUUGUUGUCCACCAUAGAAUUUGCAUCAGUUCUGUUCUUGGUGUGUAAUAUUUUAGUUUGUUUUAUGUAGAGUCCAGAGUAUUAGUUAAGGUUUAGUUGUCUAAUUUUCAAUAAGAAUAUGAGUUAGUCGUAGCUUUGUUUCGAUUUUACGUGAAUGCACAUAUCUCUUAUGCCUGUACCGAGCUUAUUUCUCUUGUCAUCGAACCUGCCAGUAUGCCUUGCUUAUGGGAGUUUAUUUGCGCAAAUGAUUCUGCUGUACUUGUUUAACUGAGGUUGUGCAUGCUAUGUAUAUCUUGAAUUUGUUUCGUAUAUUACCCUAUUUGUCCUAAACUGUCUGGGCGUUGUCUCUCUUUCUUACACGUGUCGUCGUUGUUUUCGGGAAUUUGACUUAGAGAAACGUGGCUUCAGCUGCUGUUUGACAGCAGCAGCCCUCUCAUUUUGGUCUGAAAUCUGUUGAAUCCUGUUUUCAUAGUGUCUUCAAUCUGUCGUUUGUCGGAAAUCCGUUGAGUUCUGUUAAAUGACAUUCAGUUUACUUUUACUUAUGUUCGCACGUAUUGUCAAUACAUACAUGGGGUAGUUAAAGACUCAAAUCAGUCCUAGUUUGCUUUAGUUUUUUUUUUCGUGUUUGACCAUCAGAUUGCCUCUCUAAUAUUGUUUUCCCUGUUUUUAUUUUCUUUAUUCACAUGGUAAACUUGAUGAGCACUAACUCGAAUUAAUUGUUUGGCAGUGGGUAGUUUAAGUCACGUUGGCUGUUUAGAUAUUGAGUAAAAUGGUUGGUCUAGUCUUAAUCACUUAUUAAGCGUUUUAAGCAAUGAAGCCGUUGAUUUACUCGUUUGAAUUUUACAUUAUAUAGCCUUAUUUAUUGAUCAUGUACUAAUCUUUCUUUCCUUUUUUUAUGCAUGACAUCUCGCAUACGAGUCCAAGCGACUCGUCAUCCUCCUCCGCAGUCGGCGUUAGGCUAAAAUCCCAACAAAAUCCUAUCGUGUCCAGCCCCCUGUUCGCAGCAUGAACAAGAAAAAAUAAAAUCUGGGCCGAAGCCCAAUAGGUGAUGAACAGUUCGCAGCAACAUAUUAAGGCUGUUGGGCUGAAGCCCAACAGUCAAUGGACCACAACAGUUUUGGAAAGUGGGCUGAGCCCAUUUAAAUCAUGUUACUCCUCCAUUUUACUUUUUUUUUUCUUAUGAAUUUAACUCUUAUUGUGUGAUUGACGCGUUGUUUGUUAAUUUAGACGCCGUAGUAAAAUUAGUGGAGUCUAGUAUUAGUAAUGGGUCCUUAAUUUAAGGGGACAACAAGAAUUAGUUCCAUAGGUUCCGUUUUUUUUCUUUUAUGUUAAAACUAUUUAUAGUAUCAUACUGUUAUUCUUUCUAUUAUUAGAAUAAUUGAUUUUCAAAAAUAGCACUACUGUAUAUUUUGAGUUAAGGUAAUUAUGAUUUAUGCUUACUAUCUUGGAAAACUUCAAAACAUCAUUAAUACGCAAAUAUAAACUUAAGUGUAUUCUAUAAACAUUCUCAUAAGCCUCAUCCAAUUGUACAUAUUUUUCUUAGUCAAAUAAUGCUAAAUAAAAGUGAUAAAAAAAAGUGAAAGAAAAUUCAUGCCCUUCUCAUCAUAUUUAAAAAAUAAGUCUAGGCUUUUCUACAUCACAAUAUUUAUACAAUAUAAUUUUUAUUUAAAGUUCAUGUUUAUUGAAUCUCCUCUACAAGUAUUAUUUUAAACAACACUAUUAUACUUUCGUUUAAAGCCUUAACAAUAUUUAUAAGUUGUAUUUUUAAAAUAGCAUUAGAAGUACUCUUUUAUACAAAUAAUUUCUACAAGUCCUAUUUUAAAUAGUAUUGUUACAGGUCUAUCCAUAACUUUAGCCACAUUUACAAAGCUACGUUCUUUUCUAUAAUACUACAUUUACACUUAGCCUAAUUAAAUUUUAGUUCGGUCGGUUAACCAUUGUUAAUGGAUCUUAGAGGAUGCUUAAUACCUUCCCUCUAGAUUAGUUGAACCCUUACCUAGAAUUUUGGUUUCGUAGAUUUAAAAAAAAAAACAGAGUUAACUUUAGAUAUUUACUUUAACUAAAUUUAGGUGUCCUAAUUAACCAAAAUAAUUAGGUGGCGACUCCUGUACUUUAAUUAACCCCGAAAUUACCGGGAUGUUGUAAACUAUUUUGACUUCGGUUAAAAUAGGGUAUAACAAACAUUAUGGUCCAUGCUCUGCAGUGAGGGAAAAGAGCCCCCUUCAACACUUAUGUGGAUUUUGUUCUAUUUGGCUCAGGUUUGCUCAUGUCUUCAAUAAAUAUUCAGGGUUUCAUGUCCUUUUCUUUGUUUCCUUUCACCUUCCUAAUUGAUAAAAAAUAUUCUUGCUGCAGCAUUAUGACAGAUAUGGACAGUAUGACAUUGCUCUUGUAAAAAUUGAUGAGGCAAUAGAACAUACUCCUACAGUCACAGAUUUAUACUGUGUCAAGAUAAUUCCUUAUUCUCUAGCUUUGGAGUUUCAUCAGCAGGCAGCAACCUAAGCGACUAAUGUUUUCCUGCUUCCUAUCCGGACCUGGUUUUCAUAGUGAUGUAAGUGAUAUACCUGAGGAAACUUACCCACUUCUACAGUACUGUGAACUCCUUAUCAUGGAUGCUUUGCGGCCAGAUAGAUCUUCCUUAACACAUUUUGGACUUCCAAGGGAAAACAAUUGAAGGCUCUGGAUGAAGUGCGGAAAAUCAAACCAAAAAGAACACUUUUCACUGGCAUGAUGCAUCUCAUGGAUCAUGAAGUAGUAAAUGAAAGGCUACUGAAACUGAAGGAGACGGAAGGCAUCGAUGUGCAACUUAGCUAUGAUGGGCUUCGAGUACCAGUGAGCCUGCAGGCUUUCAGGUCUGACUCGACAAACCUGGCUAUUCUUUCUGAAUAAAUGAAGAUCAUUCAGAAUUUUGUAGUAGCUUAAUGUCUCUUGUGAAUGUAGUCUAAUGUUGUAGACUAACUUAGUGUAGACUAGUUUAAUGUUUUGUGGAUGUUUGUAAAGGUUGAAGUAGUUAAUGUCUCUUGUGAAUGUUUGAAUGACGUUUUGAUUCAACUUUGAAGUAGUUUCGAAUUGAA